rnacentral:lncRNA from 1 species
UCCCUGAACCUCCCUACACCAUUUGUUUGCACUCUACCGGACCUUAAUGGCCGGUCCAUGGUCGGCUAUGGCGGCCGCCCGCCAUUCGCGUGACCGAAGGAGAAGGGAGAGAGUAGAGCGUGAUUAGAGGGUAUCAACGGGGCCGCGAAGGCGAGGCGAAGUCGAUGCGCACGCGCGCGCGGGCCGGGAACCACGCUAGCGGCGGCCGGAGUCGUGGCCAAGCCGCCGUGUGCGGUAGAGACGGAGCUGACAAGUGGGGUCUUCCUGUCAGCGUCUCGCAGAGAGGAGAGGAAGCGGAGCCUGACGAGCGGGACCCGCUCGUCAGUGACCGCAAAGAGAGGGGGCAGCGCGCGCAGCGUCCACGUGGGCCGGGAGGGAGUGGGCCGGCCUGCGGGCCGAUUUCCGGCCGCUCGCUGCAGUGUUUUUCUUUUUUUCUUUUUAUGCAGUUUUUGAUUUAUAUUUGAAAUUGUGUAAUAAAUCUUGUGUAGAUCCAAAAAUCAUGGAAAUUUUUGUGUAGAUUCCCUGGAAUAAGUAGAACCCAAGAAAAAUAUUAGGUUCUGUUUUCUGAUAGUUUGCAAGCGUAUAAAAAUUGCCUCUUUUAAUUAGCAAAUAAAACUUCUAUGAAUUUUAAUAAUUUAUUAGUAUGUCCAAAAAUCACCAAGCUUUGUGGGGAGCCUCUGAUUAUUAUUUCCAGAUUCCACACAAAAUUUGGUGACAUUUGGAUAAUGUUGGAAUAAAAUAUUAUUAAACCCUUAUUUAGUAAUUAAAUAAUAAUUCUAAAAUAAUUGGACAAUAAUUAGAUAAAUUCCAAAAAUUAGGAUUUGAGUGACUUUGGCAUUGUGUGUUGACCUGAGGUCAUUAAUCUUAAUGACCUUUGGCAUUCAAUUAUUGUUUGGCCUUAAUGCUUAAUUACUGUCA